GUGUGCGUGUGAUCGAGCAGGAGAAAAGGGGAAGGGGUGUAAACCCUAACCCACAUGAAAUCAUCAAAUUGGAAAAGGAUUUGAGGGUUAAUUGGAUGCAUGAACCAAGAUUUAUGAUCACUCAAGCGUUCUUGACACCAAGAUAGGAAUCCCAAAUUGACAUGGACUCAAGUAUGGAAAGCUAACGGGUCAAGCGGAGGUGAGGAAGCAAGCAUGAACACUAACACUUAAGAUAUGUAGGUGCGUAUGAUCAGACGUAUGAAUAUAUGAAUGCACGAAGUAGGAUUUAUCGUCUAUGAAAAGAAUGGGACAGGAAUGAGAACGUCAGACUCUUGUAGAAUUGAAGCCGAACCUUGAAGCCGAACUCGGAACAAAGGAAUCCGAGAGGAUAGUCGAAUGAAUCAAAGUUUAUGUUGUCGAAUGUUAUAUGAUUUUUAAUUUGCAUCAGAUUAUUGUUGUAUGACGUUGUCAAUGACUAAUGGUUAAGUUGUAUGUGUCGUCCACAGGUACUACACGGAUUUCUUCUGCUGCUAAGGAAGCGAAGCGGACGUAGAUCGAGUCAAGAGCAAGGAUUGUACGGAUAGAUCGGUCACAUAGUUGAAGUAUAUAAUGUCUAGAAAUCUAAAUUUUAGUAUGAAUGUUGUGAAUUCUUUUAUAGAACGUUUAACAUUUUUAGAAUUUGGAACCUUCGUGAAAGUAAUGUCGUUAAUAAGGAAAGAAAUUUUAAAGCUCUUUU
rnacentral:lncRNA from 1 species